UACGUAGGGUGCAAGCGUUGUCCGGAAUUAUUGGGCGUAAAGAGCUUGUAGGCGGUUUGUCGCGUCUGCUGUGAAAUUUCGGGGCUCAACCCCGAACUUGCAGUGGGUACGGGCAGAUUAGAGUGUGGUAGGGGAGACUGGAAUUCCUGGUGUAGCGGUGAAAUGCGCAGAUAUCAGGAGGAACACCGGUGGCGAAGGCGGGUCUCUGGGCCGUAACUGACGCUGAGGAGCGAAAGCAUGGGGGAGCGAACAGG
rnacentral:rRNA from 1 species